rnacentral:misc_RNA from 1 species
GAUGAAGAACGUAGUGAAAUGCGAUACUUGGUGUGAAUUGCAGAAUCCCGUGAACCAUCGAGUCUUUGAACGCAAGUUGCGCCCGAAGCCAUUAGGCCGAGGGCACGCCUGCCUGGGCGUCACACGUCGUUGCCCCCCCAUCUACUCCUUCGGGAUUGCGGGGGGCGGAUGAUGGCCUCCCGUGCGCCUCGCCGCGCGGUUGGCAUAAAUGCCAAGUCCUCGGCGACGCACGCCACGACAAUCGGUGGUUGCGAAACCUCGGUUGCCCGUCGUGUGCGGUCGUCGCGCAUCGAGGACUCGAAAAAAUUGCCGGGUUCCGGCUCGGCUUUCAACGCGACCCCAGGUCAGGCGGGGUUACCCGCUGAAUUUAAGCAUAUCAAUAAGCGGAGGA